GAGGGCACCGCGGUGGCCUCUUCUGAGGAGGAAUGGCACAGCCUGGGCGGGAGGCUGCGUGCCCCUUUCAAGGAGGCCACAGGAUUCAGCCAAGUGCUUUCAAACACCCCCACGAAGUGCCUAGGAGGGGACAGGGAAAAGGAGGGAAUGGCACCUUUCCAGGAUACCAAAGUCAAAGACAAGGCGAGGUCACCUGGGAUCCCUAUGCCACCACCAUGAAGACUGCAUUCACGCCCAAGAAGGGAUCGGUGCCGGUUUUAAUUCGUCAAAAGAGUAUCAGAAGACUGGGAUAUACCUAUUCACUUAGUGACCCUCUGCUUAAUCAGACACAGUACAAUGAUGAGUAUGUUUGGAAAUCAUGUUCUAAAGAAGAUUGGAUCAAAACUAGGACUGCAAGAGGAAUCAGGAGCCAAAACUAUCACCCCAGUCAAGGUUUCUUUCUCUGGACAUUACCUCAGGGACAAUCAAUGGCAUCAAUAAGGAGCCACCUCCGUUGGAAAAUCGCUGCUUCAGAGGAAGCCUUUAGGAAGGCAGUAUCAAAUCAGUUUAUUUCCACUACUAGAAGAGACUUUGUGGACAGAUCAAAAGUUCCAGAGAUUAAGGAAAGUUCUCAGACGUCUCAGGACUGGAAAAAGUUACUUCCUCGACCUGCAGACACUGAAUUUCGACAGAAUUACCAAGUUCCAGCUAAAAUUCCUGAAUUGCAGGACUUUAAUUUCAAAUGUGGGUGCUACUCAAGCCUACCAGUUGCUUCUCAGGGUCAAGUCCCUUCCGUGCUGUACAGCCCCCUGAGGAGUCAAGAGCUUAUAAAGAACCAGACUGUGUACCAAAGCGAUUAUGGGAAAACCUCCCUGGAUUACUUAAUGAUUUUAAACUCAUUUACUCCCUCUCAAAUUACAGAGUACCUUCAGAGUGUUUCCUGCAAAGGGCACAGAGUGGACACCGUGCUCAUCAGUAAAGGAGUACCUGGUGGGUUUUGCUGGCUGAUACCAUGAACUGGAGAGUGAGAAGAGCAAGCUCUGCUUUGGGAAGGUUAGAAACAUCUCAUGUUAACAGCAUCCUAGAUGCCGAGGUGAUCCUGGCAGAGCCCGUAAUGUUCAGAGCCAAGACUUGCCCUGCUGGACCUCAGCCUUCGGGUAA